UACAAGUGGCAAGGAAGCUUAAUACUGGUGAAAGACGUUGUACAGCGUGAUACCCAUGAGCUACCUGAUUGUUGUGGCAAAACAACUUUGAUUUCCACUUACGUGUUAUCACUGACUUUCUGAGCAACAGCCACUGGAAUCAUGACCUGCAGUAUCCAAUUCUACAUAAAAGAAAGGUGAAUCUCACUGUAUUUAUGAGAAACAUAUGCCUUGAAAAUGAGGAAGUGCUGCGGAGACUGUGAUGGUUGUAUCUCUGUAAGUAAUUUAGUCACUGUACUCUAGUAUUGGACACAUGUGGAACGACUUGGUAGCGAGACAUUUCCCAGAAUGUUCAGCUGUUUCACCAGUGCUGUCUGCAUGGAGGCUGCUUCUCUGUAUUCCCGUUUGCUAGAUCAGCAGCAUUUAACAGGAAACCAUGUAUUUUGUAAAAAUCUUUUCUGAACUGAAGGUGAUCUGUGGAGUUUUUGGAGCCAAGCAUGAGCAAUAUUCUUCUUUCUCCAUAUGUAGGAGUGC